AAAUUAAUAUAGGUUAGGUUUAUUUAUUUAGUUAAAAAGGAAAUAAAACAAAAAAGGUUGUGAGGUAAAGUCAAAAUUUAGGUUACCAUCAACUUUAUUCUUUUCUUCUUGGCCAAACUCUAGGGGAGUUGGAACCCAGGUUUUUCUUUUUCAAAUUCUUCAUGAUUGAGCUGAAAUGACAAGGAGUGGAGGUUGGUUAAGCAUUGAGGACUCAAAAGUGUCGGGCAUCGUUCCACUCAGAUUGGCCCACAUACUUGAUUUUGGACUUGAGGUAAGAAGAUUAGCAGUUUUAUUCGGCCAUGAGUCAGAGGUCUCCCAGCAAAACCGUGGGGUCUUGGCUUCUGGGAAGCAGGAUCGAAUUCCCUUCUAUGUUUGAAAAUGUAACCUACUGUAAACAAUUUUUUUUUUUUUUUUUUUUAUAAACAGGGGAACCCUAUAUUACGACAGUAUUUAAAAUGAAAGUCUUUAUUUUGAAUUUAAUUAAAGAUUUAAAUUAAACCACACUUUUCCAAAAUUUAUAGAUUAGUGAUAAUAAGUUUAUAAAUGCACACACGUGGCGUCCCUGAGGGUCAGGGCGUUACACACACCAAAUAAGGUAGUUAAGCAAUUGUUCAGUAAUUCAGGAAACUGCUUCUUUCAGAAAGUUGAGCCUUCCCUUUUCUCUCUAUAUAUAGCCGACCCUCUUCUUCUUCUUCUUCUUCUUCUUCUUCUUCUACACAAGAGAUACAAUUUUGAAAUACCUAGUGAGAGAGUAGUGCCCACACACAGUAAACAGUACCUCAAUCAUAGUUUGGAAGACUGUGAAGGAUCAAAUCCAAGAGAAGGACAUUCGGACUCAGAUCUUGAUUAUACUCUGCAACAGAAAGGAUACAAGGGUUAGAGAUCUGAGUGGAAGGAGACAUAUUAUUCCGCUGCACCCAAUGUAAGGUUUCUCAUACUUUAUAUGUGUUUACUUAUCAUCGUUUUAGAAGUUCAUAUUUAGGUUGUUAAUCAACAUACUUGUGAGUAGAUCUAAGAUCCUGGUAAAAUAAUUCCAACAACUGGCACCAGAGCCAUGGUAAUUGAUUUGCUUGCAAGAAAUUUGGACUUAAAACGAUUUGUUUGUGAUUUGGAUGGUAUCAGGUUGUUGUUUUGUGUGUUGUAUUGAUGAUUGAUUGAUAUUUGUGAAAUUCUGGGAAAAAUAAUUGAAUUUUCGAUUCUGCAAUUAUUUUUAUUGGAUAGUUUGGAAAAAAUUAAGCAAUUUACUUUUUUACAGAACUCAAUUUCGAUUUUAUUUGAAAUAGUUAUGAAUUUUUGAAAAUUGGGAAAAAUCAGGGUGGUGAUCAACCUUCCCACGCUCGCGGAAUGGCUGCUUGCAGCCUCCAGCGCCAAGGAAUCUCCGCCCAGCCUCCCCUUGUGUGCGCGCGGGUGGUAUGCUGUGCAUACCAUCCUUACAGCUCACCAAUUUUUCCGUUUUCUUCGAUUUUUCAUGCUAUUUCAUGGAAUUAACUUCUGAUUUUUUGUGUAGUUUUGUAUUUUGAUUUUUAUUUUUCAUAUUUCAAAUCUAAUUAUCAGAAUUAAAUUAAUUUGAUUUUUCAAAAUUAAUUUUAGAUAUUAGUGUAAUUUGAAUUUGAAAAUAGGUAAAAAUCUAUUUGUGUUUACUUCUUUUCUUAUUUUAAAAAAAUUUGAUUAUUUUAUCUUAAUUUUAAAUCUAAGGUCAGAUACUAAUUUUUUUUUUUUUUUUUUUUAUAAAAUAUUCUAUUUUAAGUAAUUUGACCUUAUUUA